AGAAGAGUGGCUCAACGGCAGAGCGCCUGAUUCCAAAUCAGGAGGUUGUGGGUUCGAGUCCCAUCUUUUCUG
rnacentral:tRNA from 1 species